UACGUAGGGUGCGAGCGUUGUCCGGAAUUAUUGGGCGUAAAGAGCUUGUAGGCGGUCCGUUGCGUCGGAAGUGAAAACUCGGGGCUUAACCCCGAGCCUGCUUUCGAUACGGGCGGACUUGAGGGAUGUAGGGGAGAACGGAAUUCCUGGUGGAGCGGUGGAAUGCGCAGAUAUCAGGAGGAACACCAGUGGCGAAGGCGGUUCUCUGGACAUUUCCUGACGCUGAGAAGCGAAAGCGUGGGGAGCAAACAGG
rnacentral:rRNA from 1 species